rnacentral:rRNA from 1 species
CAGAGGGUGCGAGCGUUAAUCGGAAUUACUGGGCGUAAAGGGUGUGUAGGUGGUUGUGUAAGUUAGAUGUGAAAUCCCUGGGCUCAACCUGGGAACUGCGUUUAAAACUGCAUAGCUAGAGUACUGUAGAGGAUAGUGGAAUUUCCAGUGUAGCGGUGAAAUGCGUAGAUAUUGGAAGGAACACCAGUGGCGAAGGCGACUAUCUGGGCAGAUACUGACACUGAGACACGAGAGCAUGGGGAGCAAACAGGAUUAGAUACCCUGGUAGUCCAUGCUGUAAACUAUGAGAACUUGCUGUUGGAUGCAUAAAGGCAUUUAGUAGCGAAGCUAACGCGAUAAGUUCUCCGCCUGGGGAGUACGGUCGCAAGACUA